AGGAUGAACGCUGGCGGCGUGCUUAACACAUGCAAGUCGAACGAUGAAGCAGAGCUUGCUCUGUGGAUUAGUGGCGAACGGGUGAGUAACACGUGAGUAACCUGCCCUUGACUCUGGGAUAAGCACUGGAAACGGUGUCUAAUACCGGAUACGACCCUCGGAGGCAUCUCCAGGGGGUGGAAAGAACUUCGGUCAAGGAUGGACUCGCGGCCUAUCAGCUAGUUGGUGAGGUAAUGGCCCACCAAGGCGACGACGGGUAGCCGGCCUGAGAGGGUGACCGGCCACACUGGGACUGAGACACGGCCCAGACUCCUACGGGAGGCAGCAGUGGGGAAUAUUGCACAAUGGGCGCAAGCCUGAUGCAGCAACGCCGCGUGAGGGACGAAGGCCUUCGGGUUGUAAACCUCUUUUAGUAGGGAAGAAGCGAAAGUGACGGUACCUGCAGAAAAAGCACCGGCUAACUACGUGCCAGC
rnacentral:rRNA from 1 species